CCAGUCUCCACUCUGAGUAUGAAUGCCCAGGCGUAACAUCUCAUGCCUUAAAGGCACAGUAAGAAAGAUUCACACUCACAAACCCAUGGAUUCAUAUAUUCACAACGCAGAGAGUGAGAGCUUGCCAUAUGCAAGUAUGCUGAUUAAGUGGCAAAGAAGAAUAAGUAAUUAAAAUUUCACAGUAAGUUUUGCUUACUGAUUUACUGAUGAAAACAAUGUUGACAUGCUGUGCUGAAGUGUGGGUUCAAGUGAAGAGGUACGUUACAACAGAUAAUUUAUUCUCAGUAGUGGAAGCGCUCUUGCUCUGGACCGCCUGUAAACAGUGUGAGUGCACUUGGCUCUCAGCAUGUGCUCAUAAGGAAACUGUUCAAGUAAUGGGCCAGUGAGCAGCAUACUAUUCAAACAGUUUCAGACCUGCAUAAAGAAGAGGAAGAUGGCAUAACAAGAAAUUAGACAACGUUGAAAGUAACUUGCAUGAUCAGCAAGUGGCCAGGUUACAGGAUGUCAGCUUCAUUUGUAAAAUA